AAAAUUAAUAUUGAAGCUAAUAAUUCUUAGGUUUAGACUAGGAUUAGAUACCCUAUUAUUCUAAGAGGAAUUUUUAUAUCCUUGGUUAGUAGUAGUUAUUUACUUAAAAUCUAAAAAAUUUGGCGGUAAUUUAAUCUUUUCAGAGGAACCUGUUUUUUAAUCGAUAAACCACGAAAUAUCUUACUUGUUUUAGUAUAGUUUGUAUACCAUCAUUACCAGGUAAUUUUAAGAAAAUUAAUUACUAGGAAGAAUAAUUUAGAUAAAUUAGAUCAUGGUGCAGUUAAUAAAUAAGUUAAAAUGGGUUACAAUAAAUUAUUAUUAUAUGGAUAAAUAAAGUAAUGUUUUUUUAGAAGGAGGAUUUGAUUGUAUUUUAAGUUUAAUAUGCUUAAGAGAUGAUAGCUCUAAAUUAUGUACAUAUCGCCCGUCGCUUUCAUUUAUGGAU
rnacentral:rRNA from 1 species